rnacentral:rRNA from 1 species
GAUGAACGCUGGCGGCGUGCCUAAUACAUGCAAGUCGAGCGAAUGGAUUGAGAGCUUGCUCUUAUGAAGUUAGCGGCGGACAGGUGAGUAACACGUGGGUAACCUGCCCAUAAGACUGGGAUAACUCCGGGAAACCGGGGCUAAUACCGGAUAACAUUUUGAACCGCAUGGUUCGAAAUUGAAAGGCGGCUUCGGCUGUCACUUAUGGAUGGACCCGCGUCGCAUUAGCUAGUUGGUGAGGUAACGGCUCACCAAGGCAACGAUGCGUAGCCGACCUGAGAGGGUGAUCGGCCACACUGGGACUGAGACACGGCCCAGACUCCUACGGGAGGCAGCAGCAGGGAAUCUUCCGCAAUGGACGAAAGUCUGACGGAGCAACGCCGCGUGAGUGAUGAAGGCUUUCGGGUCGUAAAACUCUGUUGUUAGGGAAGAACAAGUGCUAGUUGAAUAAGCUGGCACCUUGACGGUACCUAACCAGAAAGCCACGGCUAACUACGUGCCAGCCGCCGCGGUAA